rnacentral:rRNA from 1 species
GACGAACGCUGGCGGCGUGCUUAACACAUGCAAGUCGAACGGAAAGGCCCUGCUGUUGUUGGGUGCUCGAGUGGCGAACGGGUGAGUAACACGUGAGUAACCUGCCCUUGACUUUGGGAUAACUUCAGGAAACUGGGGCUAAUACCGGAUAGGAGCUCCUGCUGCAUGGUGUGGGUUGGAAAGUUUCGGCGGUUGGGGAUGGAGUCGCGGCUUAUCAGCUUUUCGGUGUGGUAGUGAGUUGCCAAGGCUUUGACGGGUGGCCGGCCUGAGAGGGUGACCGGCCCAAUUGGGAUCGAGAGACGGCCCAAAUUCAUCUGGGGGGAAGCAGGGGGGAAUAUCCCAGAAGGGGCGGAAGAGUGAGGAAGCAAGGCGGCUUGCGGGAUGCCGGCCUUCGGGUGGAAAACGGGUUUCGCUGGUAAGGAAGCGUUGGGGCGGGUACUGGGCAAAGAAGCACCGGCAACUACGUG